GAUGAUCAGUUGUUUAUUUUUCGUUUACUCUAGUUUAACCUCACUUAACUAGAUAGAUCGAGAAAUAUUAAAUUACUAUUACUAUUAUUCAGGUUGAAAAAUGCCUUCUUCUAAGGUAAAAGGUUGCGAAGUCGAUAGGGGAAAAAUAAUGUGAAAAUGAAUUCUUUCCCAAAAGAAUCUGAACGACGGAAAGUGUGGAUUAAAAAUAUAGGGUUAAAACAAGAUCCAAACAAAUAUGCUGUUGUUUGUGAAAAAAACUGUAAAUAGUAUUUAAGGCAACGAUUGUGAAUGAGUGAGAAGUCUAAUAAAGCCACGACGAGAUACUGUAUCAGAGCGUACGAUUUGGAGGUAUUUUUGAUUAGAUAAAUUUUGUAAAGUACAAUAUAAAUUAGAUUUGAUAAUGUGUAGUAUUUCCUAAUAAAUUAAAUACUAUUAAGUGUUUAUUGUUCGUGUAAGUUAGUGUGGUAAAUAAAUAAUAUGAAGUAAG